rnacentral:rRNA from 1 species
AUUGAACGCUGGCGGCAGGCCUAACACAUGCAAGUCGAGCGGAGGAAGGGAGCUUGCUCCUGGAUUCAGGGGCGGACGGGUGAGGAAUGCCUAGGAAUCUGCCUGGUUGCGGGGGAUAACGUCCGGAAACGGGCGCUAAUACCGCAUACGGCCUGAGGGAGGAAGUGUGGGAUCUUCGGACCUCACGCUAUCAGAUGAGGCUAGGUCGGAUUAGCUAGUUGUUGGGGUAAAGGCCUACCAAGGCGACGAUCCGUAACUGGUCUGAGAGGAUGGUCAGUCACCCUGGAACUGAGACACGGUCGAGACGCCUACGGGAGGCAGCAGUGGUGAAUAUUGGAGCAUGGGCGAAAGCAUGCUCCAGCAGUGCCGCGUGUGUGAAGAAGGUCUUCGGAUUGUAAAGCACUUCAAGUUGGGAGGAAGGGCAGUAGGUUAAUACGUGGCUGUUUUGACGGUACCAAGAGAAUAAGCGCCGGCUAACUACGUG